rnacentral:rRNA from 1 species
AUGAACGCUGGCGGCGUGCCUAAUACAUGCCAGUCGAGCGAACGGACGAGAAGCUUGCUUUUCUGAUGUUAGAGGCGGACGGGUGAGUAACACGUGGAUAACCUACCUAUAAGACUGGGAUAACUUCGGGAAACCGGAGCUAAUACCGGAUAAUAUUUUGAACCGCCUGGUUCAAAAGUGAAAGACGGUCUUGCUUUCACUUAUAGAUGGAUCCGCGCUGCAUUAGCUAGUUGGUAAGGUAACGGCUUACCAAGGCAACGAUGCAUAGCCGACCUGAGAGGGUGAUCGGCCACACUGGAACUGAGACACGGUCCAGACUCCUACGGGAGGCAGCAGUAGGGAAUCUUCCGCAAUGGGCGAAAGCCUGACGGAGCAACGCCGCGUGAGUGAUGAAGGUCUUCGGAUCGUAAAACUCUGUUAUUAGGGAAGAACAUAUGUGUAAGUAACUGUGCACAUCUUGACGGUACCUAAUCAGAAAGCCACGGCUAACUACGUG